rnacentral:rRNA from 1 species
CCUACGGGUGGCAGCAGUGGGGAAUAUUGGACAAUGGGGGGAACCCUGAUCCAGCGACGCCGCGUGAGUGAAGAAGUACUUCGGGAUGUAAAGCUCUAUCAGCAGGGAAGAAAGAAAUGACGGUACCUGACUCAGAAGCCCCGGCUAACUACGUGCCAGCAGCCGCGGUAAUACGUAGGGGGCAAGCGUUAUCCGGAUUUACUGGGUGUAAAGGGAGCGUAGACGGCGAUGCAAGUCUGGAGUGAAAGGCGGGGGCCCAACCCCCGGACUGCUUUGGAAACUGUAAGGCUGGAGUGCAGGAGAGGUAAGUGGAAUUCCUAGUGUAGCGGUGAAAUGCGUAGAUAUUAGGAGGAACACCAGUGGCGAAGGCGGCUUACUGGACUGUAACUGACGUUGAGGCUCGAAAGCGUGGGGAGCAAACAGGAUUAGAUACCCCUGUAGUC